GUGGGCGUGUCGGAGUGGUUAUCGGGCAUGAUUAAAAAUCAUGUGUGGGCUUUGCUCACCGUAGGUUCGAAUCCUGCUGCUCACG